CCUACGGGCGGCUGCAGUGAGGAAUAUUGGUCAAUGGCCGGAAGGCUGAACCAGCCAUGCCGCGUGAAGGUCAGUGCCCUAUGGGCGUUAAACUUCUUUUGUGCGGGAGCAAUAAUGGUCACGUGUGGCCAGACGAGAGUACCGUACGAAUAAGCAUCGGCUAACUCCGUGCCAGCAGCCGCGGUAAUACGGGGGAUGCAAGCGUUAUCCGGAGUUAUUGGGUUUAAAGGGUGCGUAGGCUGUGAGGUAAGUCAGCGGGGAAAUGCCCCCGCUCAACGGGGUGAAGUGCCAUUGAUACUGCCUUGCUGGAAUGCGGAUGCCGUGGGAGGAAUGUGUGGUGUAGCGGUGAAAUGCAUAGAUAUCACACAGAACACCGAUUGCGAAGGCAUCUCACGAAUCCGCGAUUGACGCUGAUGCACGAAAGCGUGGGUAUCAAACAGGAUUAGAUACCCGAGUAGUC
rnacentral:rRNA from 1 species